rnacentral:ncRNA from 1 species
GUCCCGGGACGGCCUGGGAUGGCGUCUGUCCCGGGACGGCCUGG